rnacentral:rRNA from 1 species
GUAGGUGGCAAGCGUUGUCCGGAAUUAUUGGGCGUAAAGCGCGCGCAGGCGGUUCUUUAAGUCUGAUGUGAAAGCCCACGGCUCAACCGUGGAGGGUCAUUGGAAACUGGAGAACUUGAGUACAGAAGAGGAAAGCGGAAUUCCACGUGUAGCGGUGAAAUGCGUAGAGAUGUGGAGGAACACCAGUGGCGAAGGCGGCUUUCUGGUCUGUAACUGACGCUGAGGCGCGAAAGCGUGGGGAGCAAACAGGGAUUAGAUACCCUGGUAGUCCACGCCGUAAACGACGAGUGCUAAGUGUUAGGGGGUUUCCCGCCCCCUUAGUGCUGCAGCUAACGCAUUAAGCACUCCGCCUGGGGAUACGGCCGCAAGGCUG